rnacentral:lncRNA from 1 species
AUCAACUUGAAACUUAGUGUACAUGUUCCCUUUGAUAACAUCAUUAUAAUUUGAAUGCCGAAUUAGAGAAUUUAUUCCAAUUUCACGGUCCACUAAACAUAGAAAAUGAUAGUGCGAGUGGGGCAUCCGUGUACUGUGGACACAUUCUUGUUUUAAACCAACAUAGUACUAGACUUCCAUAUCAGUAGUAAGUCAUAAAUGUUGUUUUCCUCUGGUGAUGGAUAAUUGAAAACGGUUAGAAACUGGCUUUUCUUAAAUUUUCUCAAUUUUUCUUAUUUUAGCAUUUUUUUACCUUAUUUUUUUUUUUUUAAAUCAAAAAGAUACCAAAAAUUUCAUUUUCAUCAUUUUUCACACCAAAAUAGUACUAGAC